rnacentral:rRNA from 1 species
GAUGAACGCUAGCGGCAGGCCUAAUACAUGCAAGUCGAACGGUGUCUUCGGACAUAGUGGCGCACGGGUGCGUAACACGUAUACAACCUACCUUACAUUGGGGGAUAGCCUUUCGAAAGGGAGAUUAAUACCGCAUAAGACAGUAGCUGGGCAUCCAGCAGCUGUUAAAGAUUUAUCGAUGUAAGCUGGGCAUGCGUCCAAUUAGCUAGUUGGUGAGGUAACGGCUCACCAAGGCAAUGAUUGGUAGGGGAACUGAGAGGUCAAUCCCCCACACUGGCACUGAGAUACGGGCCAGACUCCUACGGGAGGCAGCAGUAGGGAAUAUUGGGCAAUGGACGCAAGUCUGACCCAGCCAUGCCGCGUGCAGGAUGAAGGCGUUAUGCGUUGUAAACUGCUUUUAUACAGGAAGAAACGACUCUUGCGAGAGGCAUUGACGGUACUGUAUGAAUAAGCACCGGCUAACUCCGUGCCAGCCGCCGCCGUAACAC